rnacentral:lncRNA from 1 species
UUUCAAAGGGGCCAUCCUCAUUAUACAAAGUCCUCUCUUUCUUUGAACUUCAAAGCAGAAAGGAGAGACCUUAAAUGAUAUGGGUUUGUGCUGGGUCAUGAAGAGUGAUUUCCAAAACCAUUCUGUCUACCAGUUCCUCUCCCGGACCCUGUCUUCUGUUCUCCUACAUGUUUUUGGAAAAGAAAAAAAAAAUCAUGGAAAAGCAAUCCUAUGUAAAGGUUUUAGAAAGGGUCUUUGGUCUCCUCCCAAAGACUCACAGAGCACGUU